GAUGAACGCUGGCGGCGUGCUUAACACAUGCAAGUCGAACGGAGUAUUGACGCUGACGAGCAGAGUAGCUUGCUACGAAGCAAAUCUUGUUGAUACUUAGUGGCGGACGGGUGAGUAACGCGUGGGUAACCUGCCAUAUACAGGGGGAUAACACUUAGAAAUAGGUGCUAAUACCGCAUAAGCGCACAGUACCGCAUGGUACAGUGUGAAAAACUGAGGUGGUAUAUGAUGGACCCGCGUCUGAUUAGCUGGUUGGUGAGGUAAUAGCUCACCAAGGCGACGAUCAGUAGCCGGCCUGAGAGGGUGAACGGCCACAUUGGGACUGAGACACGGCCCAAACUCC
rnacentral:rRNA from 1 species